CUCAGGAUGAACGCUAGCGGCGCGCUUAAUGCAUGCAAGUCGAGCGAUGAGGCCCUCUUCGGAGGGUACAUCAGCGGCAGACGGGUGAGUAACACGUAGGUGACCUGCCCUAAAGCUGGGGAUAACGGAUGGAAACAUACGCUAAUACCCAAUAGACCUGUGAGGUCGCACUCAUAGGUAAAGCUCCGGCGCUUUAGGAGGGGCCUGCGGCCCAUCAGCUAGUUGGUAGGGUAACGGCCUACCAAGGCGAAGACGGGUAGGGGGUGUGAGAGCACGACCCCCCACAAUGGGACUGAGACACGGCCCAUACUUCUACGGGAGGCAGCAGCAGGGAAUAUUGCACAAUGGACGCAAGUCUGAUGCAGCGACGCCGCGUGGAUGAUGAAGGCCCUCGGGUCGUAAAAUCCUUUUCAGGGGGACGAGGAAGGACGGUACCCCUGGAAUAAGCGUCGGCUAACUACGUGCCAGCAGCCGCGGUAAGACGUAGGACGCAAGCGUUAUCCGGAUUUACUGGGCGUAAAGCGUCUGUAGGCGGUUCAAUAAGUUGGGCGUGAAAGCUCCGGGCUUAACCCGGAGAGGCCGUUCAAUACUGUCGAACUAGAGGACAUCAGAGGAGCAUGGAAUUUCCGGUGUAGCGGUAAAAUGCGCAGAUAUCGGAAGGAACACCAGUGGCGAAGGCGGUGCUCUGGGGUGGGCCUGACGCUGAGAGACGAAAGCUAGGGGAGCGAACAGGAUUAGAGACCCUGGUAGUCCUAGCCUUAAACGAUGGAUGCUAGGUGUGGGGCCGAGAAGGCUCUGUGCCGCAGUUAACGCGCUAAGCAUCCCGCCUGGGGAUUACGGCCGCAAGGCUAAAACUCAAACGAAUUGACGGGGCCCCGCACAAGCAGCGGAGCGUGUGGUUUAAUUCGAUGCUACACGAAGAACCUUACCUGGGUUUGACAUGUACGUGGUAGAGAAGCGAAAGCGGAUCGACCCUUCGGGGAGCGUACACAGGUGCUGCAUGGCUGUCGUCAGCUCGUGCCGUGAGGUGUCGGGUUAAGUCCCGUAACGAGCGCAACCCUUGCCCUUAGUUACAAGUGUCUAAGGGGACUGCCGGCGGUAAGCCGGAGGAAGGUGGGGAUGACGUCAAGUCAGCAUGGCCCUUAUAUCCAGGGCUACACACACGCUACAAUGGUCAGUACAAAGGGCAGCGAAGCCGCGAGGUGAAGCGAAUCCCAACAAAGCUGAUCUAAGUUCGGAUUGCAGGCUGCAACUCGCCUGCAUGAAGCUGGAGUUGCUAGUAACCGCGCGUCAGCUAUAGUGCGCUGAAUACGUUCCCGGGGCUUGUACACACCGCCCGUCACGUCAUGGGAGUCGGUAACGCCUGAAGCUGGUAGUCUGGCCCGCAAGGGGGACGCCAUCAAAGGCGGGGCUGGCCAACUGGGACGAAGUC
rnacentral:rRNA from 1 species